rnacentral:lncRNA from 1 species
UUCUUAACUCGAGCCGUCCUACUCGUUUGUACAUCUUGAUGACAAGGAGUUAUGUCACUCCCUUGCCCACAUUCUAACUUCCCUCGAAUAGAAUCCUCAUGAUUCAAAACACUUGGCUUUGCUUUGCCCACAGUCUCUCGACCUCCUUGCUCAAGAACUUCGAAAGGGCCCUUAUAUUCUCGCCAAGUACACAAGUUAGAAUGCAAAACACUAUCAGAGUGUUCCAAAUGUACCUUUGCAUUUGCUUGGGUCAACUGUCCCACAUGUAUCACAUCUUUUUCCUUGAAGUUUGAUGCACCACCCACCUCUCCCAUAGGUGGAAGCCUUGUAGAUGACUGGGCCAACUCCGACGGUUCACUCGAUUCGAGCCUCAUUGGUCCCAGCUUCACUGUUUUCAUCGCAACUUCUUCCUCUAAGUCCGAUGAGAAACUCACAUCUUCCUUGGGUGGAAGCCCCUCCGACGACUCACCAUGCUCGGACGUUGCCUUUCCUUUGACAACAACUUGCUUUGGACAGUUCCGUAAGUCAUACAGACCACGGCACAAGAAGCACUUUACUCGCUUCUUUUUGUUCCUCUUAGCCCUCUUGGCUUCGGCUUUUCUCUUGCUCGAACCAAGCUUCUUAGGCUCUGUAUCUGCUCGUUCAUUCCCAUCGAUAACAGACUUCCUCAGACACUUCCGAAACCUAUGCAGACCAUGAUAUAAGAAGCAAUCGACUGGCUUCUUCUUGCUUUUGGCCUCCUUGGCUUCGAAACCCAUUGCGCUAGAACCAAAUCCCAAGGCCUUACCCACCAGCUUCUUCCUAAGCAUGGAUUUUAUCGGACAUUUCUUUAACAUGUGUGGACCGUCGCAGAGAAAGUAUUUCAGCUUGUCCCUUUUCCUCUUGGGUUUCUUCUUCCCAACUCAUGGUUUCCCAUUACCACCAUUGUUGCCGUUGCCAUUGCCAUACUCAUCCGUAUCUUCCUUGUGAUUCCCUUCACAUACGCCCCUUUCCUCGGACUUGGAAGAUCCAAGCUUGUCUUUUCCUAGACCAAGCUUAACCACGGAUACCGCUACCUUCAUGGCUUCCGACAGCUUUUGGACACCUCUUUGUUCCACCUCAUGUCUGACCCACGACUUCAAUCCCUCUUGAAAAGUAAGCAUUGCUUCUCUCUGUUAUAUCCGAAACUUGGAGCAUGAGUUCCUUGAACUCAAGAACAUACUCCCCCACUGUGCCCCGUUGGGUUAUCCCUUGCAACUUUGCCCGAGCUUCUUCCUCGGCAAACUCUGGGUAAAACUGUCCCUUCAACUCGCAUUGGAACUUCUCCCAUGUUUUAAUCUCACCUUGCCUUUUAUCUGUGGUCCUACCUCACCACCAUAAAAGCACAAUACCAGUAAGAAAUAAUGAAGCAGUUUGUACCUUACCUGCAUCAUCCACGAUGCCUUUGGCAUGGAAGUAGUUUUCCAUCCUCCACAAGAAAUUGUCCACAUCACAUGCAGACCUUGUCCCCACAAUCUCUUUCGGCUUCGGGACAUACUCAUUACUGAGUGCUGCACUUGACACUCCUUCCCCCACCGCUGCUCGACACAAGGCCAGCUCUCCCUCGAGCUCCUCUAUUCUUGUGCUUAAAGCCAACGUCGUGGCCAUUGUUUCCCCCUUCAAAGCUAUCAACAUGGCCUCAAGAGCAUCGUUCCUGUCCGAUAGUUUAUCUUUAUGUGAAUCCAAUAACUCAUUUACCUUAUCCAUGGUCGAAUUAAGAGACAUCUUUACAUAGUCUCUGGACUGUUCCUUCCAGUUGUCUACGUGACCCUCGAACCCAUCGAGUGCCUCUUUUACGUCCUCCACGGAUCCCUCGAGUUUACCCACAUAUUCCUCUACUACCGACAGCAUCUCCCACAAACCUUUUCUUGCCCUCCUUUGUUCGCACUCUUCUUUCGACAUCCCAACUGUGCUUUCGAACCAACAGCUCGGAUACCACUUGUCAUGGAGCUAGACCUUUCGUCUCGCAAUCUGUGCGGCCUUAGGCAAUUUGCUCGUCUAAACUCGCCCAAGUCAGCCUUUACUCGAAUGAGGGCUCCUUAAGAACACCUCCAAGGCACCAACUCUUACAGCGGAAGCAAACUUGUGCCAAAAGAAGCUUAAAAAGAACAACAAAAAGGGACGCUCGCAAAGUGUUUGAGUAAAUGCUCUCUAUUCUCUUAUUCACAAAGAAUAAUGAAACAAUGAAUGGAGUGAGUACAAAUGAGGGGGAGGCUCUCUAUUUAUACUUGAGCUCCUCUAAAACCGACGGUCAAGAUAAAUUUAAAUCGACGGACGAGAUUAACCAUAUCCCAUGAUUUAAGGGACUUACAAGAUAUUGCCAAAUCAAAUCCUAUCUAAUCUUACAAGAUAUGAUUCCCUCUAUCUUUGAAGAUUAGUUACCAUAGUUGCCUAAGUUGCCAUAUCUUCGCUAUCGGGCCAACCAGGCUUCAAUCUGACAGGCUUCUCCAACAGUUCCUUGAAUCGGGCCAGCUCUCGUGGG